rnacentral:rRNA from 1 species
UACGGAGGGCGCAAGCGUUGUUCGGAAUCACUGGGCGUAAAGCGCGUGUAGGCGGCUUGGCAAGUCGGGUGUGGAAUCCCGAGGCUCAACCUCGGAACUGCACUCGAAACUGCCUGGCUCGAGCCCCGGAGAGGGUGGCGGAAUUCCCGGUGUAGGGGUGAAAUCCGUAGAUAUCGGGAGGAACACCAGUGGCGAAGGCGGCCACCUGGACGGUGACUGACGCUGAGACGAGAAAGCGUGGGGAGCAAACAGG